AAGUCGUAACAAGGUUUCCGUAGGUGAACCUGCGGAAGGAUCAUUAUUGAAUGAAACUGGUCAGGUUGUUGCUGGUUCUUAGGAGCAUUGUGCACGCCUGGCACCAUUUUCACCACCUGUGCACUUUUUGUAGACUUGGGUUUUUAUCGAGGUUCAAACUCGGAGUGAGGAUGUGCGUCUAUUGGGGAGGCUGUCCUUGAACUCUAGUCUAUGAUUUUAUACACACCCAUGAAUGUAACAGAAUGUUAACUACUAUUGGCCAUUGUGCCUUUAAUGUAAUACAACUUUCAACAACGGAUCUCUUGGCUCUC
rnacentral:misc_RNA from 1 species